UACGAAGGGGGGCUAGCGUUGUUCGGAAUCACUGGGCGUAAAGCGUAUGUAGGCGGAUUGUUAAGUCAGGGGGUGAAAUCCCGAGGCUCAACCUCGGAACUGCCUUUGAUACUGGCUGUCUUGAGUCCGGGAGAGGUGAGUGGAACUCCUAGUGUAGAGGUGAAAUUCGUAGAUAUUAGGAAGAACACCAGUGGCGAAGGCGGCUCACUGGCCCGGAACUGGACGCUGAAAUA
rnacentral:rRNA from 1 species